rnacentral:rRNA from 1 species
GCAAGUCGAACGGGAUCUUCGGAUCUAGUGGCGGACGGGUGAGUAACACGUGAGAAUCCACCUUAAAGUCGGGGACAACAGUGGGAAACUACUGCUAAUACCGGAUAAUACCGAGAGGUGAAAGAUUAAUCGCUUUGAGAGGAGCUCGCGUCUGAUUAGCUAGAUGGGGAGGUAAAAGCUCACCAUGGCAACGAUCAGUAGCUGGUCUGAGAGGGUGAUC